UGUGCUUGCACAGAUGACGACCGGCGCACGGGUGCGUAACGCGUAUAGAACCUACCUUUUACAGAGGAAUAGCCUUUAGAAAUGAAGAUUAAUGCCUCAUAGUAUUGUAGACUGGCAUCAGUUUAUAAUUAAAGAUUUAUCGGUAAAAGAUGGCUAUGCGUCCUAUUAGUUAGUUGGUAAGGUAACGGCUUACCAAGACAGCGAUAGGUAGGGGUCCUGAGAGGGAGAUCCCCCACACUGGUACUGAGACACGGACCAGACUCCUACGGGAGGCAGCAGUGAGGAAUAUUGGACAAUGGAGGAGACUCUGAUCCAGCCAUGCCGCGUGUAGGAAGAAUGCCCUAUGGGUUGUAAACUACUUUUAUACAGGAAGAAACACUGGUAUGUAUACCAGCUUGACGGUACUGUAAGAAUAAGGACCGGCUAACUCCGUGCCAGCAGCCGCGGUAAUACGGAGGGUCCGAGCGUUAUCCGGAAUCACUGGGUUUAAAGGGUCCGCAGGCGGUCUAUUAAGUCA
rnacentral:rRNA from 1 species